rnacentral:rRNA from 1 species
AACGAACGCUGGCGGCAUGCCUAACACAUGCAAGUCGAACGAGAUCCUUCGGGGUUUAGUGGCGCACGGGUGCGUAACGCGUGGGAAUCUGCCCUUUGGUUCGGAAUAACAGCUGGAAACGGCUGCUAAUACCGGAUGAUGACGUAAGUCCAAAGAUUUAUCGCCAGAGGAUGAGCCCGCGUUGGAUUAGGUAGUUGGUGGGGUAAAGGCCUACCAAGCCGACGAUCCAUAGCUGGUCUGAGAGGAUGAUCAGCCACACUGGGACUGAGACACGGCCCAGACUCCUACGGGAGGCAGCAGUGGGGAAUAUUGGACAAUGGGCGAAAGCCUGAUCCAGCAAUGCCGCGUGAGUGAUGAAGGCCUUAGGGUUGUAAAGCUCUUUUACCCGGGAUGAUAAUGACAGUACCGGGAGAAUAAGCUCCGGCUAACUCCGUGCCAGCCGCCGCCGUAA